CUUGGCUUCUACCCUGUAAUUUGUAAAACAGACGUUGUCCAUGUGUGCUCUAAUUCAAACUGCAUUUUAAUCUAAAUGGUUUCGUUGAGGUUUCUGAAGUGAUUAUAAAUUGCUUCGGGGCCCUCCAGUUAUCUCAGCAGCAUUAUUUUUACCAGUCAGUGCAAUUCAGGUGACAAUUAAAAACCAUGGCACUCAAGAAGUGUGUUAUAGCAAACAGGCUACAACAGAACGUCCAGCUUCUCUCUGAGAGGCGAGUACACCAGUCAUGCAACCAGCCAGCACCAGCUUUGCCAUGAAGAAAAGCUACAGAUAAAAGUAUCUUAUUUAAAUGCUAAAAGCUUAGUUUUCUCAUAAAGAAAAGGUGAAAAAAGAAAAAAAGACAACCUAAACUAUGAAGCAACUACUCAGAUAAUUAGAUAUCCAUAAGCCACCACCUCUUGCACUGCCUUAAAUCUCACUUUCAAACUUACUGCUCACGAACUUGUUGGAUGGUUCCCCUCUCAGCCGCCUUUCUACAGCAGCAGAUUUGCCAAUUUCCUGUUUUAUUCUCUUACAAAAUAAACAUAUAUAUUUAUAAAUGCAUAAAUAAAUGAAAGGCCCAGAACCAAAAAUAAACUCAUGGUAUUAAACCUAAAAUAUGGUUUUUGAUGCCUAGUUAUUUCAAAGAUUCCUGAACAGUGGCCACAACAGAUCUCCCCGAUCAUUGAUACCUGCAGAAAUCUCUGCCUCCACUACAAGAGAGGUCCUGCUCAGGCAAAACCUCCAUUCGGGGCCCACAUUCAACAGAGGCUGGAGAAUCAUCGUUCUGUGGCCCACCAACGCAGCAGGGAUCAUCUCACCAACUGUAUCAAGAUUCUCGUUAACUUCGUUGCCGACAGCUGCGAUGCAAGCGGUCGGUGAUGCUGCGGAGUAAAGAUCCAUACACAGACGCUGUCACUCUGCAGCUCGCACAAGCCCUUCGCUGUGUUGAGAACAUCGUAUCACAGAAUCAUCAAGGUUGGAAAGGACCCUGAAGCUCCUCCAGUCCAACCCUUAACCUCACACUGACCGUUCCCAACU
rnacentral:lncRNA from 1 species